UGCGAACGCUGGCGGCAGGCCUAACACAUGCAAGUCGAACGGCCGUAGCAAUACGGCAGUGGCAGACGGGUGAGUAACACGUGGGAAUGUGCCCUUCGGUUCGGAAUAACCCAGGGAAACUUGGGCUAAUACCGGAUACGCCCUUACGGGGAAAGAUUUAUCGCCGAAGGAUCAGCCCGCGUCCGAUUAGCUAGUUGGUGGGGUAAUGGCCCACCAAGGCUCCGAUCGGUAGCUGGUCUGAGAGGAUGAUCAGCCACACUGGGACUGAGACACGGCCCAGACUCCUACGGGAGGCAGCAGUGGGGAAUAUUGGACAAUGGGCGCAAGCCUGAUCCAGCCAUGCCGCGUGAGUGAUGAAGGCCCUAGGGUUGUAAAGCUCUUUCGGCGGGGAAGAUAAUGACGGUACCCGCAGAAGAAGCCCCGGCUAACUUCGUGCCAGCAGCCGCGGUAAUACGAAGGGGGCUAGCGUUGCUCGGAAUCACUGGGCGUAAAGCGCACGUAGGCGGGUU
rnacentral:rRNA from 1 species